rnacentral:rRNA from 1 species
GACAGUUCGGUCCCUAUCCGUCGUGGGCGUAGGAAAUUUGAGAGGAGCUGUCCUUAGUACGAGAGGACCGGGAUGGACGCACCGCUGGUGUACCAGUUGUCUUGCCAAAGGCAUCGCUGGGUAGCUAUGUGCGGACGGGAUAAGCGCUGAAAGCAUCUAAGUGCGAAGCCCCCCUCAAGAUGAGAUUUCCCAUUUCUUCAAGAAAGUAAGACACCUCAGAGACGAUGAGGUAGAUAGGCCGGGAGUGGAAGAGCCGUGAGGCUUGGAGCGGACCGGUACUAAUCAGUCGAGGACUUGACCAAAA